CCUUAAAGGCCCAGGUUCUUGCCGACUUCAUCACGGAAUGCCCGACGACCGACAUACAAUCGGGGGAGGACGACCCGGUGAAGGUCGGGACCUCCGACUGUUGCCCCGACCCGACCUGGGUACUACACAUCGAUAGGGCUUCCAACGCUCAGGGGAGCGGGGCCGGUUUCCUACUCACCGGCCCAGAAGGAGUGACCACCGAACACGCCCUCC
rnacentral:lncRNA from 1 species